rnacentral:rRNA from 2 species
AGCUUGCUUCUCUGAUGUUAGCGGCGGACGGGUGAGUAACACGUGGAUAACCUACCUAUAAGACUGGGAUAACUUCGGGAAACCGGAGCUAAUACCGGAUAAUAUUUUGAACCGCAUGGUUCAAAAGUGAAAGACGGUCUUGCUGUCACUUAUAGAUGGAUCCGCGCUGCAUUAGCUAGUUGGUAAGGUAACGGCUUACCAAGGCAACGAUGCAUAGCCGACCUGAGAGGGUGAUCGGCCACACUGGAACUGAGACACGGUCCAGACUCCUACGGGAGGCAGCAGUAGGGAAUCUUCCGCAAUGGGCGAAAGCCUGACGGAGCAACGCCGCGUGAGUGAUGAAGGUCUUCGGAUCGUAAAACUCUGUUAUUAGGGAAGAACAUAUGUGUAAGUAACUGUGCACAUCUUGACGGUACCUAAUCAGAAAGCCACGGCUAACUACGUGCCAGCAGCCGCGGUAAUACGUAGGUGGCAAGCGUUAUCCGGAAUUAUUGGGCGUAAAGCGCGCGUAGGCGGUUUUUUAAGUCUGAUGUGAAAGCCCACGGCUCAACCGUGGAGGGUCAUUGGAAACUGGAAAACUUGAGUGCAGAAGAGGAAAGUGGAAUUCCAUGUGUAGCGGUGAAAUGCGCAGAGAUAUGGAGGAACACCAGUGGCGAAGGCGACUUUCUGGUCUGUAACUGACGCUGAUGUGCGAAAGCGUGGGGAUCAAACAGGAUUAGAUACCCUGGUAGUCCACGCCGUAAACGAUGAGUGCUAAGUGUUAGGGGGUUUCCGCCCCUUAGUGCUGCAGCUAACGCAUUAAGCACUCCGCCUGGGGAGUACGACCGCAAGGUUGAAACUCAAAGGAAUUGACGGGGACCCGCACAAGCGGUGGAGCAUGUGGUUUAAUUCGAAGCAACGCGAAGAACCUUACCAAAUCUUGACAUCCUUUGACAACUCUAGAGAUAGAGCUUUCCCCUUCGGGGGACAAAGUGACAGGUGGUGCAUGGUUGUCGUCAGCUCGUGUCGUGAGAUGUUGGGUUAAGUCCCGCAACGAGCGCAACCCUUAAGCUUAGUUGCCAUCAUUAAGUUGGGCACUCUAAGUUGACUGCCGGUGACAAACCGGAGGAAGGUGGGGAUGACGUCAAAUCAUCAUGCCCCUUAUGAUUUGGGCUACACACGUGCUACAAUGGACAAUACAAAGGGCAGCGAAACCGCGAGGUCAAGCAAAUCCCAUAAAGUUGUUCUCAGUUCGGAUUGUAGUCUGCAACUCGACUACAUGAAGCUGGAAUCGCUAGUAAUCGUAGAUCAGCAUGCUACGGUGAAUACGUUCCCGGGUCUUGUACACACCGCCCGUCACACCACGAGAGUUUGUAACACCCGAAGCCGGUGG